rnacentral:rRNA from 1 species
GACGAACGCUGGCGGCGUGCUUAACACAUGCAAGUCGAACGGAAAGGCCCUGCUCUUGUUGGGUGCUCGAGUGGCGAACGGGUGAGUAACACGUGAGUAACCUGCCCUUGACUUUGGGAUAACUUCAGGAAACUGGGGCUAAUACCGGAUAGGAUCUCCUGCUGCAUGGUGGUGGAUGGAAAGUUUCGGCGUUUGGGGAUGGACUCGCGGCUUAUCAGCUUGUUGGUGGGGUUGGUACGUACCAAGGCUUCGACGGGUAGCCGGCCUGGGAGGGUGACCGGGCACCUUGGGCCUGCGAUACGGCCCAGACUCCUACGGGCGGCAGCAGUGGGGAGUAUUGCGCAACGGGGGGGAGCCUGAUGCGACAGCGCCGCGUUCGGGAUGACGGCCUUCGGGUUAUAAACAGCUUUCGCCUGUGACGAAGCGUGAGUGACGGUAAUGGGUAAAAAAGCACCGGCUAACUACGUG